rnacentral:miRNA from 1 species
CCCUGUCUACUGAUUGGAUUGCU